rnacentral:rRNA from 1 species
ACGAACGCUGGCGGCGUGCCUAAUACCUGCAAGUCGCACGAGAGCGACCGGUGCUUGCACUGGUCAAUCUAGUGGCGAACGGGUGAGUAACACGUGGGUAACCUGCUCAUCAGAGGGGGAUAACAUCCGGAAACGGAUGCUAAAACCGCAUAGGUCUUCGAGCCGCAUGGCUUGAAGAGGAAAAGAGGCGCAAGCUUCUGCUGAUGGAUGGACCCGCGGUGCAUUAGCUAGUUGGUGAGGUAACGGCUCACCAAGGCCGUGAUGCAUAGCCGACCUGAGAGGGUGAUCGGCCACAUUGGGACUGAGACACGGCACAAACUCCUACGGGAGGCAGCAGUAGGGAAUCUUCCGCAAUGGACGCAAGUCUGACGGAGCAACGCCGCGUGAGUGAAGAAGGUUUUCGGAUCGUAAAACUCUGUUGUUAGAGAAGAACAAGUGCUAGAGUAACUGUUAGCGCCUUGACGGUAUCUAACCAGAAAGCCACGGCUAACUACGUG